UCCCUCCGAACGUGUUAUGGGGGGUUUUUUUAUAAGUUUUUUUUUUCUUGCUCAGGAUGAACGCUGGCGGCGUGCCUAAUACAUGCAAGUCGAACGCUUUGUGGUUCAACUGAUUUGAAGAGCUUGCUCAGAUAUGACGAUGGACAUUGCAAAGAGUGGCGAACGGGUGAGUAACACGUGGGAAACCUACCUCUUAGCAGGGGAUAACAUUUGGAAACAGAUGCUAAUACCGUAUAACAAUGACAACCGCAUGGUUGUUAUUUAAAAGAUGGUUCUGCUAUCACUAAGAGAUGGUCCCGCGGUGCAUUAGCUAGUUGGUAAGGUAAUGGCUUACCAAGGCGAUGAUGCAUAGCCGAGUUGAGAGACUGAUCGGCCACAAUGGGACUGAGACACGGCCCAUACUCCUACGGGAGGCAGCAGUAGGGAAUCUUCCACAAUGGGCGAAAGCCUGAUGGAGCAACGCCGCGUGUGUGAUGAAGGGUUUCGGCUCGUAAAACACUGUUGUAAGAGAAGAAUGACAUUGAGAGUAACUGUUCAAUGUGUGACGGUAUCUUACCAGAAAGGAACGGCUAAAUACGUGCCAGCAGCCGCGGUAAUACGUAUGUUCCAAGCGUUAUCCGGAUUUAUUGGGCGUAAAGCGAGCGCAGACGGUUAUUUAAGUCUGAAGUGAAAGCCCUCAGCUCAACUGAGGAAUUGCUUUGGAAACUGGAUGACUUGAGUGCAGUAGAGGAAAGUGGAACUCCAUGUGUAGCGGUGAAAUGCGUAGAUAUAUGGAAGAACACCAGUGGCGAAGGCGGCUUUCUGGACUGUAACUGACGUUGAGGCUCGAAAGUGUGGGUAGCAAACAGGAUUAGAUACCCUGGUAGUCCACRCSRUWARSRAUGAGUGCUAGGUGUUUGAGGGUUUCCGCCCUUAAGUGCCGCAGCUAACGCAUUAAGCACUCCGCCUGGRGASYMCGACYKSRAGGUUGAAACUCAAAGGAAUUGACGGGGACCCGCACAAGCGGUGGAGCAUGUGGUUUAAUUCGAAGCAACGCGAAGAACCUUACCAGGUCUUGACAUCCCUUGACAACUCCAGAGAUGGAGCGUUCCCUUCGGGGACAAGGUGACAGGUGGUGCAUGGUUGUCGUCAGCUCGUGUCGUGAGAUGUUGGGUUAAGUCCCGCAACGAGCGCAACCCUUAUUACUAGUUGCCAGCAUUCAGUUGGGCACUCUAGUGAGACUGCCGGUGACAAACCGGAGGAAGGUGGGGAUGACGUCAAAUCAUCAUGCCCCUUAUGACCUGGGCUACACACGUGCUACAAUGGCGUAUACAACGAGUUGCCAACCCGCGAGGGUGAGCUAAUCUCUUAAAGUACGUCUCAGUUCGGAUUGUAGGCUGCAACUCGCCUACAUGAAGUCGGAAUCGCUAGUAAUCGCGGAUCAGCACGCCGCGGUGAAUACGUUCCCGGGUCUUGUACACACCGCCCGUCACACCAUGAGAGUUUGUAACACCCAAAGCCGGUGGGGUAACCUUCGGGAGCCAGCCGUCUAAGGUGGGACAGAUGAUUAGGGUGAAGUCUACAAGGGGU
rnacentral:rRNA from 1 species